UGACAAAAGGCGUUUUGUAAUUAUAAUUUCAUUUCCACAUUUCUAAAAUUCUAUUUCGCUGCUUUUCCAAGGCUGCUUCCUCCAUCAAUGCCAGACAUAUCAAUUGUCGUUAUUUGUUAGUGUCGCUCCCAAUAGACACCCAAAAACAGACACCCAUCUUGGGAAAAUUGGUGAAUGUCUGGAAGAUGCCCCUGAAUGUCUGUGGAAAGUGCUUUGAAAAAUUGCUUAAUGCGCUCCGAGCAUGAGUUACCCCAGCCCGGGAAAUAAAAGCACGAAAGAAAUUGGCUAAAAGCUUUUGCUGAUGCGUGUAAACUUUGGCAUUUGUGCAAAAUUGAACAGACUCGCUGGAAAUGAAGAGGAAAAUGUGAAAAGGGGAAGAGAGUACGAACAAACCUUGGACUCAAUUUGGGGGAAAUACAGCUUCGCGGAUUUUAUGAUAUUUUUACUACCCUUAAAGUGGGGAGAAAUGCAUCAUGAGGCUGACUUGCAAAAUUAGGGAAAUAAAUGAUUGUUCUAAACAUUUAAA